AUUGAACGCUGGCGGCAUGCCUUACACAUGCAAGUCGAACGGCAGCACGGGUGCUUGCACCUGGUGGCGAGUGGCGAACGGGUGAGUAAUAUAUCGGAACGUACCUUAUUGUGGGGGAUAACGCAGCGAAAGCUGUGCUAAUACCGCAUAAUCCCUAAGGGGGAAAGCGGGGGACCGUAAGGCCUCGCGCAAUUAGAGCGGCCGAUACCUGAUUAGCUAGUUGGUGAGGUAAAGGCUCACCAAGGCAACGAUCAGUAGCUGGUCUGAGAGGACGAUCAGCCACACUGGGACUGAGACACGGCCCAGACUCCUACGGGAGGCAGCAGUGGGGAAUUUUAGACAAUGGGUGCAACCCUGAUCCAGCAAUGCCGCGUGAGUGAAGAAGGCCUUCGGGUUGUAAAGCUCUUUUGUCAGGGAAGAAACAGCAGCUCUAACACAGUAUGCGAAUGACGGUACCUGAAGAAUAAGCACCGGCUAACCACGUGCCAGCCGCCCGCAGUAA
rnacentral:rRNA from 1 species